rnacentral:rRNA from 1 species
AAGCGUGCGAUUGGAUUGCACGUCUAAGCAGUAAGGCUGAGUAUUAGGCAAAUCCGGUACUCAUUAAGGCUGAGCUGUGAUGGGGAGAAGACAUUGUGUCUUCGAGUCGUUGAUUUCACACUGCCGAGAAAAGCCUCUAGAUAGAAAAUAGGUGCCCGUACCGCAAACCGACACAGGUAGUCAAGAUGAGAAUUCUAAGGUGAGCGAGCGAACUCUCGUUAAGGAACUCGGCAAAAUGACCCCGUAACUUCGGGAGAAGGGGUGCUCUUUAGGGUUAACGCCCAGAAGAGCCGCAGUGAAUAGGCCCAAGCGACUGUUUAUCAAAAACACAGGUCUCUGCUAAACCGUAAGGUGAUGUAUAGGGGCUGACGCCUGCCCGGUGCUGGAAGGUUAAGAGGAGUGGUUAGCUUCUGCGAAGCUACGAAUCGAAGCCCCAGUAAACGGCGGCCGUAACUAUAACGGUCCUAAGGUAGCGAAAUUCCUUGUCGGGUAAGUUCCGACCCGCACGAAAGGCGUAACGAUUUGGGCACUGUCUCAACGAGAGACUCGGUGA